UAGAGCGGGUGCUCGAACAGCGCUGUGAGUCUGGAGCGUGUCCUCACUCCGGCUGCGCGCAUCUCCUGUUUCCGGUCCUGUCCCGCCUUGGCACGGGACUCACCUGUCCUCCUCCUCUGCGCCUCCGUGUCCUCCCCGGCCGGGCUGAGCUUCUCCAGCGAGAGUGAGGACACGUUGGAGCCGGGCUCGCUGCUGAAGUCCUGCAGUAUUCGCAGUGUGUGUUUGUGAGGCGGUAGAUGCUCCAGGGCGGCGGCUCGGCCCGGAGGCUGGGCCCAGUUGCGCGGCUCCUCGCUGGGAGUGUGAGAGCAGGAGCAGCCGCCAGUGCCUUUACUCUCCAGCCGCGGCAACAAGUCGAUCAGGAUGUGCAAAGAGCACGCGAUCAGGAAGACGGUCAGGAUCAAGACGCGGAAUUUGCGGAACAGGAUCAUCUUGAGGCCCUCCUGUUCGCUGAAGCCCCAAGAUUUAUUGGGAAUGAGGAGCAGGAGGAAAGUGAGCAGGCGCGCUACAUCGCACACGGUGCACACGACGCGAGUGGCCAAGUUGAGCAGGACGCACGGCGCAGAGUGGCUUUCAUGCGCCAGCUUCAAAUGGGAUGUGGCGAUCAGUGGGUGUGAAAACUGAUCCUUUUCAAUAACGCGUCAGGUCCAAGUGUAAUCCAGCCCAGUGACGAGCACAUUCCCUUCGAGCAAACUCAGAUGAGUCACAGUGCGCUCCGAAAUCGAGCUUCACUUGCACCGAGGCUAUUUUUUGAAAAGUUUGAAGGCAUCACAAGAAGCCAUGAAAAUCUCCCCAAAGACGCACAUCUUUGCAGUCUGGGUUGCAAUGUCCGACUCACCGAUUUCCAUGAGAAAUAAAAUGCUCACGGAGGAAACAUUCGGAGCCGGCAAAAGGUCGCAGUGGAGCUGCGCCUGAGCGCACACCCUUCAGCACACGGGCUUUAUCUCAUGUCCGACUGUUCGCGCCUGCUUUUCAUCCCCGACAGCUCGAUCAGACACACCGUGAUGGGAAACGAAAACAAAACCCGGGGCAGCUUAGAAGAAGAAGAAGGAGGAGAAGGAGGAGAAGAACGCAGCGCUGCGCCUCUCCUCCUCGACACGGAAUUCUUCGAGAAAGUUUCACAUCACACUGGAUGCACUGCUGUCGAGAAGAAAGCCGUGAUGGCAAACGGGAUAGAUGUGUUUUUUGGUCUGCAGACACCACUAAAACGGUUCGGGUCUCGCGCUCUGGACUGCUGUGUGUGUGUGUGUGUGUGUGUUAAAGGGGCGCUCCUCCGAUCCGCUUCAGCGUCACGCAUACAGACACGGGAUUGGCUAAAGCCGCGCCGUGGAGCUCAGCAGAGCAAUCAGAGCCCAUUCUCAGUCUGGUGCUGUCUGCAACUCCACACUGUGCAAGAAGAGGGCGUCUUACCCCUUCCUCCUUCCUUCUUUAGUGGUGAACUUGAUGGCAGGUCUGGCUCUGGCAUCCAUCAGAGUUUCUAGGGAACAUUACAGUAAUGGUUUCCUGUUACCUUCUACAGGAUUAUUGUAGAGGUUUUCUCCUCAUUCACACCUAUGGACAAUUAGUCCUAACCACAUGUCUUUGGACUAUGGGGGAAGCCAGAGCACCAGGAGGAAGCCCAUGCAGACACGGGGAGAACAUGUAAACUCCACACAGAAAGGCUGUCUGUUGGCCGCUGGGCUCAAACCCAGAACCUUUUUGCCGUGAGGCAACAGUGCUAACCACUACACCAUCUGUCUUACCCCGUCCAAUGCUUUAUCCGUGCUUUACUUCAUCCAUCCAUCCAUCCAUCCAUCCAUCCAUCCAUCCAUCCAUCCAUCCAUCAUCUGUAGCCACUUAUCCUGUUCUACAGGGUCACAGGCAAGCUGGAGCCUAUCCCAGGGCUGAGACAUAGAGACAAACAACCAUUCACACUCACAUUCACACCUACGGUCAAUUUAGAGCCACCGAUUAGCCUAACCUGCAUGUCUUUGGACUGUGGGGGAAACCAGAGCACCAGAAGGAAACCCAUGCAGACACAGGGAGAACAUGCAAACUCCACACAGAAAGGCCCCUGUCGGCUGCUGGGCUCAAACCCAGAACCUUCUUGCUGUGAGGCAACAAUGCUAACCACUACACCACUGUGCCGCCUGUCUUACCCCAUCCACUGCUUUAUCCAUGCUUUACUUCAUCUGAGCAUCAAAUAAGUAGUCCUACACUACACAUACCUUGGUCAUCCAUUCAUGUUCUGGAACUGCUUUAUCCCCAUCUGGGGCCUAUACCCAUCCAUCCAUCCAUUCAUCCAUUAUCCAUAACUGCUUAUCCUGUGCAGGGUCGCAGGCAAGCUGGAGCCUAUCCCAGCUGACUAUGGGCGAGAGGCGGGGUACACCCUGGACAAGUCGCCAGGUCAUCACAGGGCUGAUACAUAGACACAGACAACCAUUCACACUCACAUUCACACCUACGGUCAAUUUAGAGCCACUGAUUAGCCUAAGCUGCAUGUCUUUGGUCUGUGGGGGAAACCAGAGCACCAGAAGGAAACCUAUGCAGACACGGGGAGAACAUGCAAACUCCACACAGAAAGGCCCCUGUCGGCUGCUGGGCUCAAACCCAGAACCUUCUUGCUGUGAGGCAACAGUGUUAACUACUACAUCACCAUGCCACCUGUCUUAGCUGUCCACUGCUUUAUCCAUGCUUUACUUCAUCUGAGCAUCAAAUAAGUAGUCCUACACUACACAUACCUUGGUCAUCCAUUCAUCUUCUGGAACUGCUUUAUCCUCAUCUAGGGCCUGUACCCUUACCUGAAUUUCCUGGGAUCACCAGGUGUGAGGUGCGAAUACACCCUGGAUGGGAUGCUAGCCUAUCACAGGACACCAUGCUCACACACUCUCAUUCCCACCCACAGGCAAUUUACAGUAAUCAGUCCUCCAACCAGUCCGCCUGCCCUGCAUCUUUUUGGACUUUUUGGAACACAGGCAUGUUUUGGAACAUGCACAGAGACUCCCCAUUGUAAGAUAAGAUGAUGCCGAGCUCAUAGUACCCCUUAAAACACUAUAAGCAGGAGCUAGAACCAAGGUUCUUCAGCACUGACCAGCAGCAUGGCAUCAGCUGGAGUCCUGCAGAUGGCAAAGGCACCUGAGGAUUUGCACUGUUCAAAGCGCUGACUACAGCAGCGGCUGUAAAUAAGCCAGAAUAGAUUUAUGAACAAGUACCGUAUGUCUUUGCAAGGUAGCAGGCUGGACCAUUAGACACAGUUCCAUGGACAGAGAAAGGGGGAUUAUGCUGGAGAUAGAAGCUGCGAUAUAGAUACACAUAGGGUGAGAGUGUGAAAGUACUGGGUGAUGUCUAUUUAUUAUUGAGUCAGAGAUUUACGCUGCACUUUGCUUGAAUGGUGAUGGAGUGUUGAGGGAUGCAUGAGUGAAUUAAACCUAAGAAAUUAAGUUACUGUGUUCCACUGUUAUUCUUUAAGUGCUCCUUUUACUAUCGGAAAGACUAACUGAGUGGUGCACUGAAGAGGUUUCUAGCUUAUAAUUAAACAGGCAUGAGAAACUGCAGUUGAUCUGUGGACAUUCAUGUUUUGGGAGGCUUUAGAAAUUGUAGGAAUGCAUAGCUUACA